rnacentral:rRNA from 1 species
CCGGGGCUAAUACUGGAUAUCACCAGACCGGGCAUCCGGACUGGUUGAAAGGGUUUACUGGUGAGGGAUGGACCCGCGGCCUAUCAGCUAGUUGGUGGGGUAAUGGCCUACCAAGGCGACGACGGGUAGCCGGCCUGAGAGGGCGACCGGCCACACUGGGACUGAGACACGGCCCAGACUCCUACGGGAGGCAGCAGUGGGGAAUAUUGCGCAAUGGACGAAAGUCUGACGCAGCAACGCCGCGUGAGGGAACGAAGGCCUUUGGGUUGUAAACCUCUUUCAGCAGGGACGAAGCGAAAGUGACGGUACCUGCAGAAGAAGCACCGGCUAACUACGUGCCAGCAGCCGCGGUAAUACGUAGGGUGCAAGCGUUGUCCGGAUUUAUUGGGCGUAAAGGGCUCGUAGGCGGUCUGUCGCGUCGGAAGUGAAAACCUGGAGCUCAACUCCAGGCCUGCUUUCGAUACGGGCAGACUAGAGUUCGGUAGGGGAGACUGGAAUUCCUGGUGUAGCGGUGGAAUGCGCAGAUAUCAGGAGGAACACCAAUGGCGAAGGCAGGUCUCUGGGCCGACACUGACGCUGAGGAGCGAAAGCGUGGGUAGCAAACAGGAUUAGAUACCCUGUUAGUCCACGCCGUAAACGGUGGGCGCUAGGUGUGGGGAACAAUCUACGUUUUCCGCGCCGCAGCUAACGCAUUAAGCGCCCCGCCUGGGGAGUACGGCCGCAAGGCUAAAACUCAAAGGAAUUGACGGGGGCCCGCACAAGCGGCGGAGCAUGCGGCUUAAUUCGAUGCAACGCGAAGAACCUUACCUAGGCUUGACAUAUGACCAGAGCAUGCAGAGAUGUAUGUGCAUUUAGUUGGGGUUAUACAGGUGGUGCAUGGCAGUCGUCAGCUCGUGUCGUGAGAUGUUGGGUUAAGUCCCGCAACGAGCGCAACCCUCGUCCUAUGUUGCCAGCGGGUAAUGCCGGGGACUCAUAGGAGACCGCCGGGGUCAACUCGGAGGAAGGUGGGGACGACGUCAAGUCAUCAUGCCCCUUAUGUCUAGGGCUGCACGCAUGCUACAAUGGCCGGUACAAAGGGCUGCGAAAUCGUAAGAUUAAGCGAAUCCCAUAAAGCCGGUCUCAGUUCGGAUUGGGGUCUGCAACUCGACCCCAUGAAGUCGGAGUCGCUAGUAAUCGCAGAUCAGCAACGCUGCGGUGAAUACGUUCCCGGGCCUUGUACACACCGCCCGUCACGUCACGAAAGUCGGUAACACCCGAAGCCGGUGGCCUAACCCUUUACUGGGAGGGAGCUGUCGAAGGUGGGACUGGCGAUUGGGACGAAGUCGGAACAAGGUA